GGGCUGGUCGUCCAACGGGAAGACACUGCGCUUGCAACGCAGAAAUGUGGGUUCAAUUCCCGCGCAGUCCA
rnacentral:tRNA from 1 species